AUUGAACGCUGGCGGCAGGCUUAACACAUGCAAGUCGAGCGGGGAGAGGUGCUUCGGUACUGAUCCUAGCGGCGGACGGGUGAGUAAUGCUUAGGAAUCUGCCAUUUAGUGGGGGACAACAUUCCGAAAGGAAUGCUAAUACCGCAUACGUCCUACGGGAGAAAGCAGGGGAUCUUCGGACCUUGCGCUAAAUGAUGAGCCUAAGUCGGAUUAGCUAGUUGGUGGGGUAAAGGCCUACCAAGGCGACGAUCUGUAGCGGGUCUGAGAGGAUGAUCCGCCACACUGGGACUGAGACACGGCCCAGACUCCUACGGGAGUCAGCAGUGGGGAAUAUUGGACAAUGGGCGGAAGCCUGAUCCAGCCAUGCCGCGUGUGUGAAGAAGGCCUUUUGGUUGUAAAGCACUUUAAGCGAGGAGGAGGCUACCUAGAUUAAUACUCUGGGAUAGUGGACGUUACUCGCAGAAUAAGCACCGGCUAACUCUGUGCCAGCAGCCGCGGUAACAC
rnacentral:rRNA from 1 species